AUCCAGCUGACGAGUCCCAAAUAGGUCGAGACGCGCAUCAAACUGGAU
rnacentral:hammerhead_ribozyme from 1 species